CGGAGUAAAAUCUGAGCCCGGGACCGAACAGCCAAGCGGCUGCGAUCCGCGACCCCAUCAACGACCGACCACAACGGGAAGCCAUGGCGCUGCAGCCGAGCAUGCGCCGUGGCUGCACCCGAGGAUCACUGUCGGGAAGAAGUCGAUCAGGACCCUGGAACUUGCAGUCAGCAGCUCCAAACAAUUCCCACUGCUCAGCAUUGACAUAGUAACGAAUGGAAACCCUCAAAAACGUAUUACAAUUGGAAAUGGCUCAUUCAUCUGUUCUACCAUUUGACUUGAACAUGCAAGGGAGAGAUCUUCUGAUUGUUAGUAAACCUUGUGUGAAAGUUUAUCUCCUGGAAUGGCCUGGAAGAUGCACGCCUUCCGGGUGUGGCCUGGGGGUUAACCCAUUUCCUUGCCAAUGUCACUGACUGAAGUGUCGUGGGAGACCGAAACAUUGAGACAUCGGGCAGUGUGCGCUGCUGUCGGAGGAAAGCCCCUGUACUCGAGCAAUCUCUCUUUUUCUCUCUCUCUUUUGAUGGUGAAUGAGGGCCUGUUGGUCCUUGUGCCGGGGCAUCUUGGAGAAGUGACGUGGAGGAUCGUAACAUUGGAACAGCAAGUUGAUGACCUCUGCUCUGGUUGUUGCAGGGGAAGAUUCUCUCUCCCUCGAUACGGAGAGAGCCUGUCUGAAAUACCCAAGUGCUGAGUUAUGGACUGUAGUUUUUGAUGAACUCUAGGUUAAAGUCUCUUGAUGGGCUUUUGCUGUUGUUUGCAUGAUGUGGGAUGGGGGCUGAGGCUUCUGCUGGGGCAAGGGGUGAGAAGGAGAUUGAGGGUCAAUACUUCUGCUGCUGCUUGUGUGUGGGAGUGGGAGGGUUCCGUUGUUUCUAUCAUUCAUUCUUUGGGGUCUCUUGUUCAUUGGAUGUCUGUGAAGAGUAGGAAUUUCAGGUUGCAUACUGUAUUAAGUGCAUUCUUUGAUAUUAAGUUGAACCAGUUGAAAGUUUUGAAGAAGUGACUCCCAACAUCAUCGCUGAAAUGUAUUGUUUUCAGGUUAUACUUACUCUUCCUGGAUUCUUCCAUUGGAGGAAAUAAUUUCUCACUUCCUAGGUUAUUAAAUUAUUACAUUAAUUUUCAAUGAAUAACUCAUUCAAAAAUUAUUUUGUUUCAUUUAAUUAUCCAGUUUCGAGGGAGACUGUCUGUUUCCUCAUAUGUGUUGAAUAUUGAGCAGUGUGUUGCCUAGAUGAGCUGGAGGGUCAGGUUAUGCCAAUAGGCACCGAGGAGACCAGCGCUCCCCAGUUCACCAAAACCAGAGUUGGAGUGGCAGUGACCACCUCCAAACCACUAGGAUCAAAGGUCUGUGUGAAUCUAGAGGCUGAGAGCUGAGGCACUCAGUGGUUGAAGUUGAAUGAUCCUGGAGGUCAGGUCGUUUGAGGCCUGAAUAUCAAAACGGUGAUUGGUGAGUCUUGGGGUCAAGGCCUGAAUGACAAACUGUGAUUGCUGAAUUCAUGUGUUGAUUUCCAGAGGUCAGCAAAAACUGGAGUGCAAAGCUGAAGGUUGAAGUCCAGAGGCCAACGAGUCCAGAGGGAGAAAAGCCAGAAGGCUGAAGACUGAAACUGGUGAGUCCAGAAAUUGAGGGCAAGUCAGAGCCAGACUGGAGGUUUAAACCCAAAGUCUGCAAGGAUGGGAAUCCAGGCCAGAGAGUUUGCGGGACCAGGGCCACAGAUUGGAGGGCUGGAGGUAGCCUCUGCUGAGGUUGGAGGCCCGUGUGUGGAAGGAGAUGGAAGUGUCAGAAACAGCUUGCUUUCUUAUUGUCUUCUUUUAUUGUUUUUGCUGCUUAAAUUGUUAUGUAUUGUGUGUUGAACAUUGUUGAUAUGUUAUGUUGGUGGUACUGCAGGCUACCUCCAGCACAUCCUUGGGUGUGUUGGUUGUUAACACAAAUGACACAUUUCACUGUAUGCUUCUAUGUCCAUGUGAUAAUAAAUCUGAAAUGUUCGGCCAGUUAUAUUUUGCACAUAAACCAACAGCACUCAAUUCCACCUUUACCACAUGUCAAACAAGAGAACAUCUGCAGAUUCUGGAAAGCCAAGCAACACGCACAAAAUACUGGAGGAAUACAGCAGGUCAGGCAGCCUCUAUGGAAAAAAGGAACAAUUGACAUUUCGGGCCAAGACCCUUUGGCCUGACUUUACCUCUUCUCUCUUGGUUUCGGAGACAACCUUUGCAGAAGUACCAUCUUAAUCUACACUCCUAAGUAAAUUAUGUUAUUGUUCAGGCAAGCACUCAAAAGGCCAAAAUUCACUCCUCACAACACUUGAAACAAACAUUCUUUAGUGUGACGAUUUAAUGAUUUAUCCUGGCUGCACCCAAAGGAUGAACUAAAUAGUUUUCACUCUUGGGAGUUGUCUGUGAUCUUGACAUGUUUUUCAUAUCUCAUUUACUGUCCACCACAUAUGAUUGUAUUCCCCUUCAAAUGUCUGAUCACCUCCACCUAUUUGGCAUUGACACCCUUAUCUUUGGCCAUCUUUUGUGGACUUGAAUCUUGUUCAUCUCAGUAUCAUCUAGAAACUUCAAAUUGUCCAAAUUUCUGCAACAUACAAUUUCCCUCCACAAUAAGUCUUGUUCAUUAAUCAUACUUACCCUUCCGAAACUAAUUUCCUCUACUUCACCAACUUAAAAAUUCUCAUCCUUGUCAUUUAAUCUAUUUUAAUUCUCAAUCCUUCUCAAACUGGCAUGUUGUGCAACUUCUCUCCAUUUUUACCUCAGCUGCCUGGAUUCUUCCAUUUGAAGUUCCUGACUCUAUACUUGUCUUCUCAACACUGCGAACUUCCAUCAAAUAUUUACUCACCUUCGCUAAUUAAUCCCAUUCUAUAUGCAUCUCUGGACUGUGAGGUUUCUUUUAAAGCAGUGAAAGAGAUCUGGUGUUCUUUUUGAUGACUGAAUAGUAGGGAAAACAGGAACACAAAAAUCCUUCAACUCAAAGCAUUUAUUUUUAAUGUAUAAAUAACUGUAUUUGUAUUGUACAAAUGCAUUAAAUUGAAGCCCAGAUGUGUUAAAUUCUGUAUUAAAAUGUUUAAAAACAUCAGUGUAACUCUUACCUGUUUAUACAUGAUAAAACAUUUGAUUUUGCGCAUUUUCAAUAUGCUUUGAAAUAGGAAAUACACUUUCUCUAAUAUUGUACCCUAUACACAUUUUAGGAUAUGUACACAUUUGUAAUGCCAUUUUAAAUAGUAUUAUUACUUUGUGAA